UGCAAAGGUGCUCUCUUAGCUAAAGGG
rnacentral:piRNA from 1 species